rnacentral:misc_RNA from 1 species
AAGACUAUAGACCUGCGGAGUACCUGCGGAGGGAUCAUUAUUGAUUUUUAACAGGAUGUGCUGGCUCUCAAGGGGGCAAUGUGCACUCCUAAUAAAACCAAUAUCCACCUGUGCACCUUAAGUAGACUAGUAGGACUCAUCACAGUCUUUCCAGUCUAUGUUCCUUCACAAACCUUUUGAAAUGUAAAUGAAUGAUCAUCUGUAUAAUUAAUAACAACUUUUAACAACGGAUCUCUAGAU